UGGGGAAUAUUGGACAAUGGGCGAAAGCCUGAUCCAGCCAUGCCGCGUGUGUGAAGAAGGUCUUCGGAUUGUAAAGCACUUUAAGUUGGGAGGAAGGGCAGUAAGCGAAUACCUUGCUGUUUUGACGUUACCGACAGAAUAAGCACCGGCUAACUCUGUGCCAGCAGCCGCGGUAAUACAGAGGGUGCGAGCGUUAAUCGGAAUUACUGGGCGUAAAGCGCGCGUAGGUGGUUCGUUAAGUUGAAUGUGAAAGCCCCGGGCUCAACCUGGGAACUGCAUCCAAAACUGGCGAGCUAGAGUAGGGCGGAGGGUGGUGGAAUUUCCUGUGUAGCGGUGAAAUGCGUAGAUAUAGGAAGGAACACCAGUGGCGAAGGCGACCACCUGGGCUCAUACUGACACUGAGGUGCGAAAGCGUGGGGAGCAAACAGG
rnacentral:rRNA from 1 species